UUUUUAUCAUUUUUAUUUUGUGUAAAAAAGGCAAAUUUAGUGAAUUAUUUUCAUCUUGUACACAAAGUUAUAAUUUUAAUGCUUUUCACAUCCAUGCUGAAAAUCUGCAGUCUCAUAAAAAUGAAAGGAACAUUAAUUUCUCCAAAAGCAUUUUUUUUCACUUAGUUAUGUACAUCGCAUGAGAAAGCUUUAAAUACUCUCUCAUUGACCACACAAAUUACCAAGAAAAUAAAAGAUUAAAUUUGUACAGAUAUUGAUCUAUAUAUCAAAUACAUACAGAAAUGAUGUAAAAACCCCAUUUAAUCUUGAUUCCCGCCCCCAACGUUUUCCCAGGGGCCAAAGCUGAUGCCUUUUUCUGGUAUAAAUGGCUGUGGCUUUUUGUUUUAAAUAUGAAAAGUAAAAGGAAGAAAAAUUCAGUUUAAAUCACAGUUUUUUUAAAAUCCCUUCCCAAUAAAGGAUUGUUACCAAAUAUAUUAGCACCAUCGUACAAAUAUUGACGGGAGAGGGUAUUCACAUCACAUAAAAACAACAAUAAAAAAAACCAAACAAACACUGAAACCCGUGUUAGUAUCCGUAGAACAAGGAAUCGGUAACUGCUUUAGCUUUCCUCAGAUGCAGCAAGGAAAAGGUUAAAAGACCUGUAUUUAAAAUAACAUAAACCCCAAAGAUCAGCAGAAGGAUUCUGAGCAGUAAGAGAAGGGUAGCCGCAAAGUAAGGUACAACUCGCGCUACCGUACGGGUAUGAAGACCAGCUAUGCCAAAUCCUGAAAUUAGUUUGACCCCAUUGAAGAUUUCAGAUGUCCAACACUUCGCUGCUCUUCUAGCCAAGUGACAUGGCUUAAAGUGAAGAUAAAAACACCAAGAGCCAUGUUACUAACUACAGUGAAGCCUACUCUAUGGGUACCACAGCCGGCAGCCCGCUCCUUGAAGAGACCACUCUAAAUACCCAGCAUAAUUUUGCUUGGGUUCUCCUUAAUCUUCUCCUAAGUGACUUCAAUUGGUUCCUUACAUGGUUUGCUUCGGACAGAUUUCCUCUGUACUUGACAAUUAAGGUACAUUUGGAAUUCAGAAACACAAGAGAGAUUUCACUCAACUCACACUGAAGCUACACAUGUAUCCAAAAUUGCAUCAACUCACAUCCUUUAGUGUUUAGUGAAUAAAAUACCUAUUUUUCAAGAACAUUAUAAAGACUGAGAGACUUCAAAUCUGACUCUUACAUUUCUCCAUCACAGGAAGUGUGUUCAAUGUAAGCACUAGUUUUCCCUCUUGACACUUGAAGACUGUAACUUAGAAGUCAGGUACCAGCCUGGGCAAUACACAGAAGCCCAAGGUUUAGAGACUUGGCAAUAUACCUUAUUAGCAGCCUGAGCUUCCACAUAAUAAAACACAAAUGAAUGCAACAGUUUUUCUACUGAAGCCAGAAGAUGAGAGAAGAAAGCAAGAUUGCGCCAACCUUGGUCCAGCUGACUGGGACAAUCUGCAAGUUGCUGCAUUAAAAACAAUAAAGAUCAAUAGUGAUGUACUUACCAAACCAAAUCAAUGCUUGCAGAGCUGGAUUGUAAAGUAGGUUAAAAUUGAGAACACAGGGGGGAAAAAAAGUUAGUCAAGGCUCAAAGUGUCAUUGCAAUGGUCUCUAAUCCUACUCUUCCAAUCCAGGCUGUUCAAAAGAAAAGCUGUGGAUGGGUCAGAAGCUGAGAGAAUGUAUUUGAAGUCUACCAAGCCGGACAAAGUCCUUUUUAUGGCUAUUUUAGAGCGCUAAAAUGCUUUUACCAUCUGAAGUUACAGAUACUUAUCACCGGAUAACCAGAUUCUGUCAAUAUAAGAAGCUGUUGGUAAAAAGGGGUCAUUAUUUAAGAAAUGUUACCAGUAAGGGAGAAAAGAAUUCCAGACAUUCCUACGCUAUACAGGACAGUUUUACUUCCAGUAGUAAAUACAAAACUUUACAUAAUUAACCCCUCUUGCAUAGAAUGAGGUAAACCUGUGCAUAUCACCAAUACUAUGUACCCAAAAUUAGAGCAAUAUUUUAGAAAAUAAUCAAAUUGCUGGUUUUCAACUUUCUAUGCACUUGUUCUUUUAAGCUUAAACAACAAUAUACAAAAAUGGUCUCCUGGGGCUCUGUGGGUUCAUAUCCUUAAAGCAUUUCUUAGGCUGUAGGAACACAGAUGUUAAUCAUUUCAAUUAGUUUCUCUUUUAAGCCCUAAUUUACAGUCAAGAGUCAGAUGAUCAUUGUACUGCUCUGAAAGGGGACCUGCGAAGACCCAGAAGCACUUGUAGAACAUACGCAGUUAAUUCCUG
ensembl:lncRNA